UACGUAGGUGGCAAGCGUUGUUCGGAAUUAUUGGGCGUAAAGGGCUCGUAGGCGGUUUGUCGCGUCGGGAGUGAAAACCUUGGGCUUAACUCAGGGCUUGCUUUCGAUACGGGCAGACUAGAGGUAUGCAGGGGAGAACGGAAUUCCUGGUGUAGCGGUGAAAUGCGCAGAUAUCAGGAGGAACACCAAUAGCGAAGGCAGCUCGCUGGGACGGUACUGACGCUAAGGCGCGAAAGCGUGGGGAGCGAACAGG
rnacentral:rRNA from 1 species